rnacentral:rRNA from 1 species
UACAGAGGUCUCAAGCGUUUGUUCGGAUUCAUUGGGCGUAAAGGGCGCGUAGGCGGCGGGGUAAGUCGGGUGUGAAAUCUCAGGGCUCAACCCUGAAACUGCACUCGAUACUGCUCUGCUUGAGGACUGGAGAGGAGACUGGAAUUCACGGUGUAGCAGUGAAAUGCGUAGAUAUCGUGAGGAAGACCAGUGGCGAAGGCGGGUCUCUGGACAGUUCCGUGGACGCUGAGGCGCGAAAGGCCAGG